AUCUCACUUCAGCAGCAUAUAUACUAUAAUUAGAAUGAUACAGAGAAGAUUAGCAUGGCCCCUGUGCAAAGAUGCCACGCAAAUUCAUGAAGCAUUCCAUAUAUAC
rnacentral:snRNA from 1 species